AAUUAAUAGACUCCUUCCACUGAUCAGGCAUUUCUUCCUUAUUCCAAAUAUAAUUAAUUAGUUUAUGGAUCUCAAACCAUAAUGUUUCAUAUACUGCUUAUGUCGUAAUUUUGUGGAAAUUGCCAUUCACAAAGAAAUUAAGAACAAAUUAAAUCCAGGGAAUGUCUGUUACCAGUAAGUUCUUAAUCUUUUUGUCUUCCUGCCUGUCUACAAAAGAAUGAUCAAAUCAAGGAUGAUGAGACAGGCAGGGUCUGUACUACAAGUAGUUACCAGAAAAGCCUACACAAUUUUGGUUCAGAAAUUUGAAGGAAAGAGAUUUCUUCAAAGCCCUACACAUAGAUGGGAGUAUAUUAAAAUAGAUCUUAUACAGGGCAUGAGAAUAUGGAUGGAUUCAUCUGGCUCAGAGUUUGGCUGUUGUGAACACAGUAAUGAAACUUGUUCUGUAAGAGGUGAGGCAUUUCUUGAAUAUCUGAGACAAGUAGCUUCUCAAGAAUUUUGCUCUGGGUGUUGUUCCGGCUUUCCAUUCUGGAGCAUUAACGUGUAUUUCGACCUUUUUACAUUUAUUUUUAGACUAAUAUUUUCAGUAAUUUAUUAAGAGCAUUACCUUGUUAUUCUUUAUGCUCUUUAAGGGGUCACUUGCUACCAACUGGGGCCCAGGAGGGUUCCUGGUUUAUUUGAAGCCUUAUAUCCGAAACAGGAAAUUUACCUAGAUGCAUUUGCUGUUCUGUAAUAUAUUGUGUCAUGUUUUGUACAGCAUUAGAGGUUGGGAUAUCUAAAGAUUUUAAUUGAAAAUCAGGUUUUAAACAAGAAGCUGAGUUAUACUUGAGCAAGUUCAAGUGGGGUAGUUCCUUCAUCACUCUGAACCACACAAUGCUAGAUGUAUAUGCUGCAUGCCAAGGGGACAGCUCAACUGUUGUUGCCGCUCAGAAUAAAUACUUAGAAGAAGCACGUCUUGAAAAAGAGUCACGUUAUCGAGGAUAUUACUAAAUGAACACAUCACAUAAGCACACUAAUUGAAGACCAUGAAUGACAGAGGCAAGGCAAUGCACGGUAAACAUGUCAGAACAUGACUAUCACAGGCAUCCCUGUGCAGUGCAGUUUAUCUGAGACAUUAAUUCAGUUUGUAUUUCUGAAACAGGCCUCAUGUUAUAAACAUCUUUGCAAGGUUAGAUUUGUCUCCAACAUCAAGACCAGAGAGAUAUGCAAACAAUUAGAGAAUGCAUUUGGAGUGUACUGUGUGUUAUUCCACUGUAUUACACAUUUUGCCAUUUGUCCUGCUUUAGAGUAGAUCAUUUGUUCAUGUCUAUUUAUAAGAAAGCAACUUUCCUGUUCCCUGCCAUGAACUUAAUAGAGAACACCAAAAGAUAUUAUGAAAUUUAGUCUGUAUUCGUCAUAAUAUCUAUGGUUGCCACAGCUGUUAAA